AUUUAAUGUUUUCGAUUCAGAUCAUUACUCGGUGAAUAUACCGCGAAAUCCCAUCAGACAUGUGUACGAGGAAGACGAGAAGGCCGACUUUGGGAAAGCGAAGACCCUUGAUGAUGGGAAGAUCCAGUGUACUCUGAGAGUGCACUGGGGAGAGUUCAAUGGAAAGGGAACAAACAAGAAGAUUGCUAAAGCUACAGCUGCCAAGCUUGCCAUUGAAGCAUUGGAAAAGAAUUCUUCGCAAGAGCGCGUCGCGCUAUACGAAGAAGAUUGAGUUUAAGUGCGGGCUUGGAGGACGUCAGUGUAGUUGUUCAGGGUGCGCUCUUAGUUCUGAGUUGUCCUUAGGGAAUCCCGCGGAACAUCUUUUAUAAGAAAUAGAUUUCUCAUGUGCCACUGCUUAUUUUUUUAUAUUAUCUUCCGCAACACAGAAAAUUAAAUUUCUGGCAUGACCAUCACUCUCUGGGAGCUACGGUUAUGAAGGCGAUGUACCUUGAAUGAAUGGGCAUCAUUAAAGAUUACUUUAUUGUAAAAUUGUUUAUAAAGUGCUGUGAUUGAUUUUCUUAGACAUCGACGUUAGGCUACAAGCAUAUUCAUUAGAAAUACGGCUUUGAAAUUUUUUUUAUUCACAUUUUACUUUUUUAAUGAAACUGGAUUUUUACCUGUGGGCGUCAGGGCGUCAUCGCUGUCAAUUUCUGGAAAAGAGGGAAAAUCCUAACCAUGCAAAACAACAAUAAAACA